AAUGGACAACGAGUUUGGAGAAUCCCGAGUAACAAAAUAACGUCGAUUCUUCACCAUCCAUAGCGGAGCUUUCCGCUUUGUGAUUUCGUUUCGGUUCGAUUGGAUUCAGCGGCACUGCCAGCUGUGGUUAUAGAAGUCUGGUUAAGCAGUGCUGGCAACUCGAGGAGGUUCCAGUGCGUUACAUUGCGUUGGGGUAACAUUAUUAUCGGCAGAACCAUAAAGACAUCACGUCGGAUCACGUCGGUCCAGAGACGGUAAGAUCAGACUGUGAUCAGCUUGCGGGGGAGUCGGAGAGAAGACAGUUCCCGUAGGAUAAGGAUAAAGAUAAAGAAUAACUAAAAGACGAAGAACAAGAAGAAGAACCUCAGUGCAGAAAGUCUCGGUUCUUCUCCACCUCCUACAUUUCAACGAACCAACCUCGUCCUCGUCCACCGGCCGACCUGACCGGUAUACAAGUUAUUGCAUUCGCCUGCAGGAGGAAUUUUCUCGAUGCUCCUGGACCAAUGAGAACGAAAUGACCCCUGAUCAUACCUCGGACCAGGUGACGUGACGUUGAAUUUCUGGAAGGUCUAGCAGAGCCAAGAACAAAAUAUCGAAUAAUAAGAUGAAAGAUGAUCCGAUAGCGACCACUACAUUUGGACCACCCCGUAGUGACUGUACCAAGAGGAAGGUGUACGAUACCGACCCCCCUAUCUUACCUCACGAUCCUGAUCACGAUCACGCACGCACGUAGAACCGCCCACUGCGUCCUCGACUUCUUCUUCAUCCUCUUCACUUGCAAUACCACUCUACGUAGUUCCAGGUACCUGAUCGGGAACGCACGUGCGUACGAGAUCAAUAAAACAGAGGCUCUGCUUCAUGGCUGGAAUAAAAUCACCCAGGAUCGACCAACGAGACUUAUUACUUUACGCUGCUGGUGACCUCGGCUGACCUAAGAACACUUCUGUGUACGAGACUAGACGUACUCUGGGCGCAUAUGAUCGCUUCUAUACGUGAUAUUCUCCGUGAUAUUUAACCGAUACGUGUGUGCCUGGCUCUGAGACAGGAGCCUCUAGGACACAAACAGGACAGGGUCAUCCUCGGUUCAUAAUUAUUCUCUCGUUCCUCCACCCACGCAGUAGUUCUCAUCCUCUUCGCUAUCUAAUUGGAUACUCAUCAGGAGGCCCGAGUGGACCGAACGUGACAUUCACGGGCCGUAAUUAAAUUAAAUGCAGAAGGCAGUCAUGGAAAAUGGGAAGAGACAGCGAGCGGGGAAGGAGGACACAAAAUAUAUAUAGAAGUGAUCAAGAGAUAGUACCCAAGAAGAACGGACUACUUUGCGUGGAAGAAGCUCGCGUUGACUAAGAGGCUCGUGCAUCGAGGAGCCAGACCCUCCUCCACGGUAAGGCACGGGCGUCGAUGGGUUAGGUUGGUGGUACUCGACGUCGGGAAUUCUGCUGGCUCUUGUACGUCUACGCGUCAACGGAUUCCCAUUGCAUCCACUUCAAGCCGGUAACGUUUUAACGGAUGACUACGGUCCUCACGGAGAGAAGAUCCAAGCAUGGAAAGUCGGUCCAGGUAUACCCCAGCAUCCAGGUACAUACCUAUGCGGGUAUGGUACAAAAUAUUAUUAUGCAAGAGUGUACUGCCGCCAAGAGCAUCACAGCCUGGAGAAUUACGAACAAAGGCAGCGUAUAAUUCCCAACGUAACUCGGGGAAUGCCUUCCGUUAAGGUUGCCAGGAAGAGGGAGUGGAGGAGAAUAGAUACGGAGACACGUUUUCUCUCCUCUCUCCAGUCGGCAAGAACUUUUAAGACUAUCGUUUAAGAGGAACGCUCUCCCCCCUUCUUCCUCUCGCUGCGCAUCCUCCUAGACGUCGCAUUCCCCGGCAUUGGAAUAUCCAUACCAGACAACCGCAUUGUUACCAAUCGUAAAUGGUCCAUGACUCUGGUACCGUUGGCUUACCCAUCCAUCAGAAUGCCAUAGGCUCCGAUAACAGCGUUGGCAGACCGGCUUGAAGAGAAAUAGACGAAAUUAGCAAGACAUAAAGAUCAGAUCAGUCAGUCGUAAUCCGGUUCAAGAAUAAGUUGAAACGAGUUCAAUAAUUACCAUGAACAAUCUGCUCGGCAUCCGAUCAAUCUGUUAAACUAUGAAUCUCAUUUCUAUUUGAUCAACUGUCUGAAGCCAGUCUUCCAGACGAUCAGCAUUACCACUUUGCGUCCAUCCCUCAACCUGACACGAAUACGUAAUUAUAUACAUAUAUACAUAUAUAUAUAUAUAUAUAAGGUUCAAGGCGUUCAUGGAGUUUCGGUAGGAUAUAAUAUAUACAUAUACAAGACUAAAGUUUAACCAGGCUUUCGUCCUGUAACAAGUCAGGCAGAUGUCCAGUGCGUGAGUUCCGUCGCGGUUCGAUGCUUCUCUGAACGAGUGAACUUUGUGGCCCGAGGGUGGUUCGAGGUAGUCAGGUACCAAGUACCCGGUACUGACUAGGUUGGCAUGGAGGUGGGUAGGUUGGUAAGGAGGCAGAAAGGCAACCUGGCAGUCAGGUAUACCAGGUACCCCUUGCUCGCGAUACGCGCUCUCGAUGGGACCCAGGGCUCCAUGGCUCUUCAGCUCACGCGGGACGCUGAUCUGUGACCCGGAUCCUCCCUACCUCAAGUCCGCUCCGUUGCGCCUUUAAGGUAACUGACUAUCGAACCAGAAUCUUUCUACGCUGCAAUCUCUGGCUCGCAGGCGUUCCUAGUACGUUGCGAGUAUGUACUACGGUGCUGUAGUACUACGAGAGUAAUGCUGGGGACUGCGAGAGAUAUUGAGACUGAGAAGUGUACUGAGAGAGAGAGAGAGAGAGAGAGAGAGAAAGAGACUCUGGCGUCCUGAAUCGCCGAUUUCUGAUGCAGCCACGUAAUUGCGGAUGCCUGGUGUGUGCAUAAUUGCGAACGGCUACCACGUGAGACUCCGAAGACCCUGCUGCUGACAGAUGGAAGAAUACUCGCGAUCGAUUGUUCUUAUAUCAUCGUGCGUAAGCCUGGACGUUUAUAUGCGUAGUU